rnacentral:rRNA from 1 species
UACGAAGGGGGCUAGCGUUGCUCGGAAUCACUGGGCGUAAAGGGUGCGUAGGCGGGUCUUUAAGUCAGGGGUGAAAUCCUGGAGCUCAACUCCAGAACUGCCUUCGAUACUGGGAGCUCGAGUCCGGGAGAGGUGAGUGGAACUGCGAGUGUAGAGGUGAAAUUCGUAGAUAUUCGCAAGAACACCAGUGGCGAAGGCGGCUCACUGGCCCGGUACUGACGCUGAGGUGCGAAAGCGUGGGGAGCAAACAGG